AGAAAAAAGAUAAAACCUCACAUCCUGAGUGAGGUUACCCAGACCCAGAAAGACAAACAUGAAUUUCCCCAAGAGAACAGAUAAUUGACUUAUUGCCUUAAAGUCCUUGAGUCCUGCAAGCUGAUGGAGUCCAGAAGUUUAAAAUGCCACUGUUAUGAAUGAAAUGCCAAUUGAGAAGGGGCUGGUGCCAAUUCCUAAGAAAGUCUUCAGGCAUUAUCUUCAAAGGCAUGCAGAAAAUGGCCAUCAAGAAAAGUUGUUCAAUUGGCAGUUAACAUUUAAAAACUGAAAUGGGCCGUGUGGCUCACAACGUGAAUCAGGCAAACAGCAGCAAGAGGUUUCCAUGAACAUGAAGCUGCCAGUCAUUGUGGAAGCAGACUGCAGGGGAAAAAAAUUAAAAAGUGAUCCAGAGCUCCACCCAUUUGCACCUAAAUCCUGGAGUAGGUGAUGAUCCUCCACAACCUGGCCCAGUGCAUGCCCCCAAACUAAAACAAACAAACUCAUUUGCCAUACAAAUUGUUUACGAUUCAUUAAAAAGCAAAAUUGCAUAUCCCGGUGCUGGCAGCUGAGGCCGAGUCUCCACGGGCGGAGGGGGCAUUCACUGAGUUGCCUUUGUAUGCUGGGAGGACCAAGCCGGAGGUUCCCACUAUGAGCCCGGAGUCUAAGCAGCCAGAUGACACAGGAGCUUCCAGGGUACCAGAAAAUACUGUCCAAGCUACCAAAAGAGGGAAGAAGUUAAUAGUCCUACCCAGCUGUGAUACCUACUAACCAUGGCAAUGACCAGAAUGGCAAGAUAUCCAUCAAGUCAACCAACAUGUGGGGGGCUCUGGUUUGCUAAGAGCGAUGUAGCAUUACAUUUUACUCAAGGCCUUGCACUGGAGUUUCAGCGUUGAAGGCUGACAUAUACAACUGUCCUAGUCAACUUUAACCAUCAACUUGACACAGCCUAGAAUUACCUGAGAAGGAAGCCUCAAUGGAGGGAUUACAGAGACCAGAUGCGCUUGUUGCAGCAUGUCUGUGUGUGAGGGGGUUGCUUUGAUUGUCAACUGAUGUAGAAGAGCCUUGUCUACUAUGGAUGGCACCAUUCCCUAGGGAAGCUGAACCUAUGAAAUCUCAAAAAUAUUCUUCCCUGAACAAGACCUGCAUACCAACAUCACCAGUUGACAUGCCAGUAUGGAUGGGGAAAUUUCACAAGGCUUUUUCCUCAAAUGAAGAGCCAAAUGCAACUAAUGGCUGCUGAGAGAGAAUGAAUCAGUCUCCUUAGGAAAAAGUCCUCCCUGAUAGUUUAACCAAUCCCAAGUGGUCAGUCCUUAACAAAUAAACAUAUGAGCAAUACUAAAUGGACUCAGGCUGUAUUUAUAUAUACACAUGUACACAUACACACACACACACACACACACACACACACACACACACACACACACACACACACACAGCCUAAUUAAAGAAUAAAAGAAAAAGAGGAUAUGGAUUUGGGAGGAAGUGUGUGUGUGGGAAGAGUAGGAUUCAGGAGAAGGAGGCAUGGAAAUGAUGUAAAUAUAGAUUCAUGUGCUGAGUUAUUGUAUAACUUCCAGGGAUUUACCUGGCUAGGGGUGAGGAGGGAAUGAAGAAAUGACAGGCACACAGAGAAACACAAAGAAAUUGGCAUUGCAUAGACUGGCUCUCUGAUGGAGAUUCUCAGUAUGUUUAUUAUACACAGUUGAACACAGAGGUGGUAUUAUUGCAUACAGAUAAAUGAAGAGGCAAGGUUAUUAUAU
ensembl:lncRNA